ensembl:lncRNA
AUUUCAUGUUAAAAUAGUGCCCUCAUGUGGUUUGUUUGGGAGCUGCAGACAAAAAUGCGUGGUUUGACGCAAUAUAGCGUAACACACCAGUUGCUACGGGGAAUGCGUGCUGUUGGUACGUAAAUUCAUGCUCUGUCUCAUUUUGGCAAUAUUUGUGUGAUUAUAGCGCAAAAUGACUAGCGAUUUCAAGUAUUUUGUGAUUUGGUUUUGCUAAUGUUUAAACCAUUUAAUCCGAGUAACAUAUAUUUGAUUAGUUAUGGGCUUUUGUGAACUUCCGUCUGAUAGUGCUCUCGUUAGCAAGGCCACGAGGUUGUUAAUUUAAUUUUAUAUUUUAUUUAGAUGUGUAAUGUCUGCAGCGAAACACCACUGAGAGGAUGUUUUAUUUCACUUUUCAGGUAUGUUUUUAUAUAUAUUUUUGUGUUUAUGAUUGCUUUUGCUUUUAUUAUUGCAUCAUGUUUCAUACGAAAUGUGGUCGUGUGUUGCGGUUCUAUUAUUGGUUAUAUACUAUUGUUGUGUAACACACCAGUUGCUACGGGGAAUGCGUGCUGUUGAUGUGUAAUGUCUGCAGCGAAACACCACUGAGAGGAUGUUUUAUUUCACUUUUCAGGUAUGUUUUUAUAUAUAUUUUUGUGUUUAUGAUUGCUUUUGCUUUUAUUAUUGCAUCAUGUUUCAUACGAAAUGUGGUCGUGUGUUGCGGUUCUAUUAUUGGUUAUAUACUAUUGUUGUGUAACACACCAGUUGCUACGGGGAAUGCGUGCUGUUGAUGUGUAAUGUCUGCAGCGAAACACCACUGAGAGGAUGUUUUAUUUCACUUUUCAGUUGCUACGGGGAAUGCGUGCUGUUGAUGUGUAAUGUCUGCAGCGAAACACCACUGAGCGGAUGUUUUAUUUCACUUUUCAGUAAACACGGAUCAACAAAAAUGAUGUGUCCUUGCAUUUAUUGUGGAAUUGAGCCCACUGACUCCUGUUCAUCUGAGUGCAUGAAGGACGUGUGAACGAAAUGGUUAAAUCACAACGCAGAAUACGAGAGAGAGACCAGAUCCAGUUACAAAAGCAACGAGAACCGUCACAUGUGCAAAUACAUCUAAUGCCACUUCAGAUCUGUGUGUCCUCUGCAGGGCAAAGAUGGAGUUUGUUGAAACUGAUUUCAUUUGAAUGUUAACAACUCUACAGUUUCUUCUUAUUAUUUUUUUGCAUUGAAAAAAGAAUAGAUUUUUGUUUGUAUAUGCUGUUAAUUAUAGUUGUUAGAAAGAAAAUCUGCAAAAAUGGAAUCGGCAAAGAAAAUUACAAUUGGUGCAUCUCUGAUUAAGAGCACUGCUUGAAACAACAGUCACAAAUGUGUGGCUUUUUUCAAGCAUAACAUAUAAACCACAUAAACAUCACUUCACAGUGUUCCAUACUCAGUAAAACUGAAUUGAUACAAUUACAUUUUAAAUUAGUAUUGGACUAUUAUUAAAUUAUACUGAAAGUGGAAUCUUCUAAUACAAAAAAUAACACAUUAUACAUUACAUAGAACAACUGGCAGAUCUAUUAGUUUGCAUUUACACUCCAGAUUUAAAGCACAGAUCUAUUUUGACAUACAGUAUCAGGUUUUUGUCCCGUCUGUUGCUUUGGUUAUCACUGUUAAUCAUCGCAGUUUUGUCAAUGCACCAUUUAAAUAACACUGUCAAUCCAGAAACUUUGCAACGUGCAGUUAGGAGCAUGAUAAAUGUAUAUUACAUACAAAAAGUGAGCUCUAGCAUUUCAGCUCUGUUGAGUGAAUUCAGACCAGUUUGAAAUAUAAUAUAAACUGUAUUUUUCAAGCACUGGUACACUGCGCAACCCUAUGGAGCUUCAUGGGAGGUUGAGAGAAAGAUCAACAAGGAGUGUGUUUUUAUCUAAAUGAAGCUUCUGAGAUGAGAAAGUCCCAAUGAAAGCCUCCCAUCACACUUGUGCAAACACAUCUACUGGUGAGUUUCGCUCAUCUGAACUGACCCGAUCCUAACGUUCUACCAUCACCACAAGCUCUAGCGCCUUCUGUGGGUUACUGCACGUUGGUGAACUCUGAUCUCACACAUCUCAUUGUUUGUGUGCUCUGAAUAUGCCAAAUAAUAAAAAGCUGUCUUAUGAAUUUCUAAUCUUUUCA